CAUUCACGGAGAGUUUGAUCCUGGCUCAGGACGAACGCUGGCGGCGUGCUUAACACAUGCAAGUCGAACGAUGAAGCCUUUCGGGGUGGAUUAGUGGCGAACGGGUGAGUAACACGUGGGCAAUCUGCCCUUCACUCUGGGACAAGCCCUGGAAACGGGGUCUAAUACCGGAUAACACUCUGUCCCGCAUGGGACGGGGUUAAAAGCUCCGGCGGUGAAGGAUGAGCCCGCGGCCUAUCAGCUUGUUGGUGGGGUGAUGGCCUACCAAGGCGACGACGGGUAGCCGGCCUGAGAGGGCGACCGGCCACACUGGGACUGAGACACGGC
rnacentral:rRNA from 1 species